UACGAAGGGGGCGAGCGUUGUUCGGAAUUACUGGGCGUAAAGGGCGCGCAGGCGGCUCUGAAAGUCAGAUGUGAAAGCCCCGGGCUUAACCUGGGAACUGCAUUUGAUACUCUAGAGCUUGAGUACGGGAGAGGAGAGUGGAAUUCCCAGUGUAGAGGUGAAAUUCGUAGAUAUUGGGAAGAACACCGGUGGCGAAGGCGGCUCUCUGGACCGUAACUGACGCUGAGGCGCGAAAGCUAGGGGAGCAAACAGG
rnacentral:rRNA from 1 species